GGAGUUAGCCGGUGCUUCUUCUGUGAGUGAUGUCCUUCCUGCCGGUUAUUGACCCGCAGGCCUUCUUCCUCACUGAAAGUGCUUUACAACCCGAAGGCCUUCUUCACACACGCGGCAUGGCUGGAUCAGGGUUGCCCCCAUUGUCCAAUAUUCCCCACUGCUGCCUCCCGUAGGAGUCUGGGCCGUGUCUCAGUCCCAGUGUGGCUGAUCAUCCUCUCAGACCAGCUACGGAUCGUCGCCUUGGUGAGCCGUUACCUCACCAACCAGCUAAUCCGACAUAGGCUCAUCCGAUAGCGCGAGGCCCGAAGGUCCCCCGCUUUCCCCCGUAGGGCGUAUGCGGUAUUAGCCUGGGUUUCCCCAGGUUAUCCCCCACUACCGGGGCAGAUUCCUAUGCAUUACUCACCCGUCCGCCGCUCGCCACCAGGGAGCAAGCUCCCCGUGCUGCCGCUCGACUUGCAUGUGUUAGGCCUGCCGCCAGCGUUCAAUCUGAGCCAUAAUCAAACUCUGA
rnacentral:rRNA from 1 species